GACGAACGCUGGCGGCGUGCUUAACACAUGCAAGUCGAACGGAAAGGCCCUGCUUUUGUGGGGUGCUCGAGUGGCGAACGGGUGAGUAACACGUGAGUAACCUGCUCUUGACUUUGGGAUAACUUCAGGAAACUGGGGCUAAUACCGGAUAGGAGCUCCUGCUGCAUGGUGGGGGUUGGAAAGUUUCGGCGGUUGGGGAUGGACUCGCGGCUUAUCAGCUUGUUGGUGGGGUAGUGGCUUACCAAGGCUUUGACGGGUAGCCGGCCUGAGAGGGUGACCGGCCACAUUGGGACUGAGAUACGGCCCAGACUCCUACGGGAGGCAGCAGUGGGGAAUAUUGCACAAUGGGCGGAAGCCUGAUGCAGCAAUGCCGCGUGCGGGAUGACGGCCUUCGGGUUGUAAACCGCUUUCGCCUGUGACGAAGCGUGAGUGACGGUAAUGGGUAAAGAAGCACCGGCUAACUACGU
rnacentral:rRNA from 1 species